rnacentral:rRNA from 1 species
AUACGGAGGGUGCAAGCGUUGUUCGGAAUUACUGGGCGUAAAGCGCGCGUAGGCGGUCUGUUAUGUCAGAUGUGAAAGUCCUCGGCUCAACCGGGGAAGUGCAUUUGAAACUGGCAGACUUGAGUAUUGGAGGGGGUAGUGGAAUUCCCGGUGUAGAGGUGAAAUUCGUAGAUAUCCGGAGGAAUACCGGUGGCGAAGGCGACUACCUGGCCAAAUACUGACGCUGAGGUGCGAAAGCGUGGGGAGCAAACAGGAUUAGAUACCCUAGUAGUCC